GUAGGUGGCAAGCGUUGUCCGGGAAUUAUUGGGGCGCAAAGCGCGCGCAGGCGGUUCUUUAAGUCUGAUGUGAAAGCCCACGGGCUCAACCGUGGAGGGUCAUUGGAAACUGGAGAACUUGAGUACAGAAGAGGAAAGCGGAAUUCCACGUGUAGCGGUGAAAUGCGUAGAGAUGUGGAGGAACACCAGUGGCGAAGGCGGCUUUCUGGUCUGUAACUGACGCUGAGGCGCGAAAGCGUGGGGAGCAAACAGGAUUAGAUACCCUGGUAGUCCACGCCGUAAACGAUGAGUGCUAAGUGUUAGGGGGUUUCCGCCCCUUAGUGCUGCAGCUAACGCAUUAAGCACUCCGCCUGGGGAGUACGGCCGCAAAGGCUG
rnacentral:rRNA from 1 species